GACGCUGGCGGCGUGGAUUAGGCAUGCAAGUCGAACGGUAUGGACCUUUCGGGGUUCAGAGAGUGGCGAACGGGUGAGUAACACGUAGGUAAUCUACCCUCGAAGACGGGGGACAACCCAGGGAAACUUGGGCUAAUACCGGAUGUGUGUAGUGGCUAUUUUUCUGAUUAUCAUUAUUUACGUAAGUGAGUAAUAAUAAGAAGGGAAAGUGGUUAUUACAUAAAAGGUGGCGUAAGCUGCCGCUUGGGGAUGAGCCUGCGUCCUAUUAGUUAGUUGGUGAGGUAACGGCUUACCAAGGCGAUGGAUAGGUAGGCGGCCUUAACGGGUGGUCGCCCACACUGGGAUUGAGAUACGGCCCAGACUCCUACGGGAGGCAGCAGUCGAGAAUAGUCUACAAUGGACGGAAGUCUGAUAGUGCGACGCCGCGUGAACGAAGAAUCCCUUCGGGGUGUAAAGUUCUUUUAUACGUGAGCAGUGUCCUUUAUAUUAAUAGUAUAAGGGGAGAGAUAUUAGCGUAUGAAUAAGCAACGGCUAACUCCGUG
rnacentral:rRNA from 1 species